rnacentral:misc_RNA from 1 species
GCAAACUUGGUCAUUUAGAGGAAGUAAAAGUCGUAACAAGGUUUCCGUAGGUGAACCUGCGGAAGGAUCAUUAACAAAUCCCCACCGGUGCUCGCUCCCGUGCAUUCGUUGCAGUGCGCGAGGGCGACACUUGCUCCAUGUGUGCAGCACACGCUGUUGCGCACGUUGGCACAUUUCUGCGAAUCCGUCUGAUUGUUGUUGCUGAAUGCGGACACGAAUGACUUUUAACAAUGGAUCUCUAGGCUCCUGCAUCGAUGAAGAACGCAGC